rnacentral:rRNA from 1 species
GGUUAAUUCGAAGCAACGCGAAGAACCUUACCAGGCCUUGACAUGCAGAGAACUUCCAGAGAUGGAUUGGUGCCUUCGGGAACUCUGACACAGGUGCUGCAUGGCUGUCGUCAGCUCGUGUCGUGAGACUGUUGGGUUAAGUCCCGUAACGAGCGCAACCCUUGUCCUUAGUUACCAGCACGUUAUGGUGGGCACUCUAAGGAGACUGCCGGUGACAAACCGGAGGAAGGUGGGGAUGACGUCAAGUCAUCAUGGCCCUUACGGCCUGGGCUACACACGUGCUACAAUGGUCGGUACAAAGGGUUGCCAAGCCGCGAGGUGGAGCUAAUCCCAUAAAACCGAUCGUAGUCCGGAUCGCAGUCUGCAACUCGACUGCGUGAAGUCGGAAUCGCUAGUAAUCGUGAAUCAGAAUGUCACGGUGAAUACGUUCCCGGGCCUU